CCUACGGGUGGCAGCAGUAGGGAAUAUUGCUCAAUGGGGGAAACCCUGAAGCAGCAACGCCGCGUGGAGGAUGAAGGUUUUCGGAUUGUAAACUCCUUUUGUUAGAGAAGAUAAUGACGGUAUCUAACGAAUAAGCACCGGCUAAACCCGUGCCAGCAGCCGCGGUAAUACGGAGGGUGCAAGCGUUACUCGGAAUCACUGGGCGUAAAGAGCGCGUAGGCGGGAUAGCAAGUCAGAUGUGAAAUCCUAAGGCUUAACCAUAGAACUGAAUUUGAAAUGGUUAUUCUAGAGUAUGGGAGAGGUAUGUGGAAAUCUUGGUGGAGGGGUAAAAUCCGUAGAGAUCCAGAGGAAUACUCAUUGUGAAAGCGACCUGCUAGGACCUUACUGACGCUGAUGCGCGAAAGCGUGGGGAGCAAACAGGAUUAGAUACCCCAGUAGUC
rnacentral:rRNA from 1 species